UGUCGAAUCCUCAACGAAAACCUGGAACACGUUCAAAAAUUCGCGUCGGGCGUCGGGGUAAAACCUGCGCCCCUCGCCACCUGCCCGGCCGAACGGCGACCAUACCGGGCUGUCGGUCGCGUCGGGCAACCAAUCAAAAACCGGCGCGGGAAGCGCCAAGGACUUUACAAAAUGGGAUGCCUUCCUGCGAGAGGGUCCGUUCGCGAUUCCUCGCCGUGGGGCUAGAGGCGCCUCCAAACAAACAUUACACACUCUCGGCAACGGAUAUCUAGGCUCUCGCAUCGAUAAAAAACGUAGCAAACUGCGAUACUUGGUGUGAAUUGCAAAAUCCCGUGAACCAUCAGUCUUUGAACGCAAGUUGCGCCCAAGCCUUAGGCAGGGCACGUCUGCCUGGGCGUCACGCAUCGCGUCGCCCCCCCCCCCCCGCCCCAAAGGGGCUCGGGG
rnacentral:misc_RNA from 1 species